rnacentral:sRNA from 1 species
GCUGGGCACUGUGGUGCAUGCCUGUAAUCCCAGCAACUUGGGAUGCUGAGACAGGAGGAUCUCAAGUUCAAAGCCAGCCUCAGCAACUUAGCAACUCAAUGAGACCCUGACUCUA